UACAUUAAUUUUUUUUAUUUAAAUUUAUUAUAGUGAUUUAAGUAUAAAUGAUAUUUUUAAAAGAAAAAAAUUUAAAUAAUUUUUUAAUUAUUUAUUUUAUUUAAUAUUUAGAAUGAUUUAUUUAAAUGAAAAUUUAUAAUAGAAAAUUAUUUAAUUAUUGAUUGAUUAAAAAAGUGCCAGCAAUAGCGGUUAAACUUUUAAUUAAAAUAAAUUUAAUAUAAUUUAGUAAAUUGAUUUUUAAGAAAAUUUAAUUUUUAAGUUUAAUAAAUUUUUUAUGGUGAAAUAUAUAUAUUAAUGAUAUAUUUGAAAAUUAAAUUAAUGUGUAAGUAAUUUACAUAAAUUUUUAUAAAAAAUUAGGAUUAGAUACCCUAUUAUUAUUAUUAAAAAUGUUGAAAUUAGAUAUUAAAUGUUUAAUCAUUAAAGAUAAAAGAUUUGGCGGUAUUUUAUUAAAUUAGAGGAAUUUGUUAAUUAAUUUGAUAAUCCACGAAUGGAAAUAUUUAAUUUAAUUUUUAUAUAUUGUUGUUAUGUUAAAUUAUAUUAUUAGAUUUUUAUUGAAAAAUUUAUUUAAGAAAUAAUAGUUCAAAUCAAAAUGUAGAAUAAUUAAGAAGAUAAAAAAUGAGUUACAAUUAAUUUUAUUAAUGGAAUUAAAGAUUUUAAUGUUUUAAAGAAAGCGGAUUUAAAUGUAAAUUUAUAAAAAAUUAUAAAUUGAAUUUUAUUUAAAAUAUGUACAAAUUGCCCGUCAUUUUCAUUUAAAUUAUGAAGAAAGUCGUAACAAAGUAAAUAUACUGGAAAGUGUAUUUAGAUUUAU
rnacentral:ncRNA from 1 species